GGGUCAGUAGGUUGGUCGUGCCACCGGUACGUACUGGUCUCACUGAUUCCUCCUUCCUGAAGAACCGUAAUGCCAUUAAUUUGGUGUUGCGGGGAGACAGGACUGUUACUUUGAAAAAAUUAGAGUGUUUAAAGCAAGCUAACACUUGAAUACAUUAGCAUGGAAUAAUGAAAUAGGACGAUCGAUCCUAUUUUGUUGGUUUCUAGGAUUGACGUA
rnacentral:rRNA from 1 species